rnacentral:rRNA from 1 species
AUGGGGGCAGAGAUCCUUCCAGCCAACUCCAUUGUCAUCAGUAAUGGUGUUGUUGCUGUUCUUGCUUGGUACAUGUUGGGUACAGAAUUCAGAAGUGCAGAUACAUAUUUUGCUGAGCUCCAGAAAGUACAGCGCAUAGGUGUGUGUUUUUCUCCUAGUGAAGUUACAGCAAUUUUGCAAAUAUGGCAAGGCCACAUAUGGGUUAAUAUGGUGCUGGAGUUUGAUGGAUUCCAUGUAACUUUUGGGAUUGUUACUAUCACGUUCUGGACACACUUCCAGUUGGGCAUGCUUCCUCCAUUCCAUUGCAAGGAUUUGAUCUUCUCGAGGUAUGCAAGUGUAGAUAAGAUGAUGAUGAAAGCUGGACAUGUUAUUCAAUAUGGUCUGGAGCAUAACCAAUGA